AGGGGGGCACGGGCCGAGCCGGGCCUGCUCCGAGCCCGGGCGGGCCGUGCGGGCGGGGGCUGCAACGUGGGAAGGGGUCGGGUCUCGGGCACGGCCUGGGUCCCGCGCUCCCGCGGUGUGCGGGGAGCUCCUGUGGCGUCUGGGGGGUUCCGCCUGUCUCCCGAGCCUGCAGCUCGCGGCCGACUUCUCGGUCGCUACCUCCUGUUGCCGGUCUGGUCCUGGCUCUCCGCCUGCUUCGGUCCACGCGGCCGCCAACACGCAGACGCACAGUCUGGAGUGUGCGCGACUGAAGGUUAAUCCCCAGAAGUCCCGGUUUGGGUUGGCUUUUACCUUCUCAGAGCCGGAGGUGGUGCCCCCCUCGAACUCAGCCCAUUUCUUUAGCGAGGGAUGGGAUGAUUUUGGAAGGCUUGCAGUUCCCCUUGUCCCGGUUCGACCUGGACCGGUCGGUGUUUGUAGGAGAAAGGACGAGAUAUUCUGCCUUGCUGCGCUAACUUGGACAGGUUACGGGAGAAAAUACUUUGUCGUUAACUGCCAAACCCCUGAAAUCAAAAACACCUUAGAAGAAGUAGCUUGACCUAGGUUAAGUGUGUGGAUGAGGAGAUAACGUAAAAGCAGGUGGCACAAGGCUUUGAAGGUCUGGCUUUGUUCAAAACCAGCUCCCUGUAUACAUCCUGUUAUGAAUAUGUAUUAUGUGCGGUGUUUUUAUUGAAUUAAAGCACCCUUCACCAACAGACAGACGCUUGUGGUGUAAAAAAAAAAAUGUAGCAGAAACAGACAUCUAAAUGAGAUUUGCAUGACUGGGCAAGACAUUGCAUGUGUGUACUCGGUCUUGUCGUUUCAGUAGAUAUUCAGUAUUAUGUAAUGCUUAUCCAACACCACAACUAGAGCCUUUUUUGAGGGAAACUGAUGACUUAUAAUACACCUGGUGGAAUUUUGUGUUAUGAGCUCCCAGCUUCAAAAACAGCUAGAUACAAGUAUUUAAAAUGAGAAAGUAAUCUUACUUUUGUUCUUAUGAUUGAACCUUACUUUAUAAUCCUAAAAUGAAGUUUGAGGUUCUUCCUUGGUGGAGCACUGUAUAUCCCAGGCCCUUUGUCAAACAUUUGCAAGCUCUGAUUUAGCACCCAGCAAUUCUUCCUAUUAUAUGGGUGCAGAAUGGAGGCUCACUUUAAAUAAUUUGGCAAAGCUGGGUUUCUCUUGAACUGUCAGGAAAUAGAGUUCAUGCAAUAUUAACAAACCAAAAUAAUGACCAUGUUACCUUAUUCACAUGCAAAUGGUUGGAUUACAAAUUGGAUCUGAAAAUUUUUAUUUAUAUGCCACUAAAAUUUGUCAAGAUAACAUAAGAAGUAGCAGUCCAGAGGACACUUUGUGCGUCAUUAUUUAACUAUGUCCCAAAUUUUGGAAGAUAGCAAGUGGGAGGAGUUGACUCUUAAGUGCUAUGAAAAGAUAGGGUAAAAAAUUAUCUCAAGAUAGCCAUGUAAAUAUCAUGAUUGAAUAUCAAACUUUCAGGAGCAGAAUGAGCAGUCCAAGCAGUAUUUGGUUCUAAGUAUUUUUCAAGAGCAAUAUUACACACUUCAUAGUAAUGACAGGAGCGUGAGAUGGGGAGUAUUUUUAUACUGUGGUUAUAACCUGUAAGUGGUGGUUAAGUCCACUUAAUGUGUCAUGAUCAGUAGUUUUUAAAACUAGAGUAGAAAACAGCAUACACUGCACAUUGUAAUAUAUUGUUUUGUGAAAUUUUGGGUUCAGGUGUGUGUGUAUGCACACACAUGCGCAUGUGCACAGUAUAGAAGGAAUUUCUUUCUAUUGGCUGUGGCUGGAAACGUUUGAGGAAUUUUGAGAAUGGAACAUGCAGGACUUAAAAAGGCAAAUACCAGCUGUAAAAGAAAGGGGGGAAAGAAUGAUAGAAGGCAAUAUUCAUUCAUUUAUUCCCUGCUAUUUCUUACAUGUUUCAAGCAUCAAAAGUAUGCAUAACAACUGCCUGAAACUAGCAGGAUGGAGGGCCCCCUUCUCUUUGAGUGGAAUUCACAGUCAAGCUGGAAAGAGGAAGUACAUAACCAUCUAAUACAGUGUAUAAUAAAGAAUUAUUCUGACAGUAGUCACUCAUUGUAGAAAACUGAUGCCGGCGAUAGCAGUUGGGCAGGGCUUCAGAACAGAGCUGAGCUUGACAUGGGAGGCUGAAGGGAGGCAGAACAAACAGAUGUUUGUGGCCCAGCAAGUGUGGAGUCGUGAGAGGUGGGGUUGGGAAGGGAAGUCAUAGAAAGGGGGAAUUUCUAGCUGCUCACAGAAUUCACAGGAAAUAAAUCAUUCCUGGAGUUUUCUAAACAAGGAAAUGGCAGGACAAAAUCAGAGCCAUAAUUCACAGACACUGUGUGAUAGGCUGGAGAGAAGAAAGGUCAGGCGGGAAAUUCUGCAACAGCGCAACAAGAGUUGAAAAGUGCUGGCCUGGGAAAGAGCCAGAAGUGACUGCAUGUUAUUGGAAUAGGAAGUUGUGUGUGAUGGAUGACAAAGAAACCUGAAACUUCAGCCAUUCCAAAUGAGGUGACAGAUGCUCCAAGAAAGUAAAUUUACCAGCAUCAUAUAACAGCCACUGAAUUCAUGGUAAAUAUGGUUGUGUUCAUGUGCGAACUUGUUAAUAUGAUUCUGUGCUAGUUAUACUUGUGAGACGUGUUCAUUCCCAGGAAAAACACAUCUCCAAGUUCCAUGUAAUAGUGAUUCUGAGGUAUAACACAGACAAAACAAAGAGUGUGAGUUUUCUUGAUCUUGGACCGCCAAUAGCACAGACUGUCACUUGUUAAGGUCUCAAUUCACAGCUCAUUCAUUUUGGUGCUCACAGUGUCUAAAAAGUGCUUCCUAAAUGUGAGAUGAAUGAGGAAGUCAAGGCCAGUGAGUGAAACCUGAUCUAGUUAGGAAUACCAGUGAUGCAGAGCAGAGCAUACAGACUGCUGGAUCCACAACUGUAUGCAGUGAGACCAGGGGUCACCACCUGUUAGAUCCAGGGGACUCUGUUGCAUGCCUGCCAGGCGACUUUAAGGGCCGGUCUGCUGGGAGAACACAGAGAUUGGCCAAUCUCUUGCUUUGCAACAGAUUUCUGUAGCCAUGGAGCUCUCAGAACAGGCCCCAGAAACUGCUCUGUCUUAGUUUUUAAAGGGGCAACUAUCCACUUCCUCAAAAGUUGUUAGUGGAUUACAAAUGAUUCCACUUAAAAGUCAUUUCUUUCUGACAAUAUUCCAAGAGAUGAGCAUUGUGGUGCAAUGAGCUAAGCUGCUGUUUGUGACACCAGCAUCCCAUGUUGGCACUGGUUCUAGUCCCAUCUGUUCCACUUCCAUUUCAGCUCCCUGAUGGUGCUCCCAGGAAAGCAGCAGCAGAUGUCCCAACUGCUUGGACCCUCGCCACCCGUGUGGGAAACCAGAAUGGAGUUUCAGGCUCCUGGCUUUGGCCUUGCUCAGCCCUAGCCAUUGCAGCCACUGGGGAAGGAAGAUCUCUCCCUCUCUCUUUUUCGAUGUCCAUGUAUCACUCUGUGUUUCCAGUAAACAAAUAUGGAAAUCUUAUUUUUUAAAAGGCAAGCCAAAAAAAUUGUAAUCCCAGGAUUUUCAGACUAAACUUUAGGCUUUUUCUAGUACUGAACAGGACUAUGUAUUUUAUCCUCUUGUGAAGAAUUUCAUUAGGAAAAAUAUCACAUUACAUAUUUUCAUCUGUUCUUGAAAAUCCAUCGAGCAGAUGCCAGUGUGGGCUAAGUUAUAUGAACUGUGUUUUUUUCAUUGGGUUAUUUAUGCUUACAGAGAAGUGAAACUCAAAGCCACUGUGAAAAAUCAGAGUCUGUUAAAAUGAUCUCAUUCUUGAAAGGUAAAAAGGAUGGAAAAUAUAAAUGUGUUCUGUACAUCGCUAGGUUUAUUUUUAAAAUUUUUAUUUUUAUUUGUUUGAAUGGAAUAAAAACAGAGACAAGACAGAGAGUUCUUCCAUCUACUGCUUCACUCCCCAAAUGCCCACAACAGCCUGGCCUGGGCCAUGCCAAAGCCAGGAGUCUGGAACUCACUCAGGGUCUCCUAGGAACCCAAGUGCUUGAGGCAUCAUGUACUCCCCCCUCCCAGGGUGCACACUUCUCAGGAAGCUGGACUUGAGGCAGAGGAGCUGGAACUCAAAACCAGCACUCUGACAGGGGGUAGGCGGUGCAGGUGUCCCAGGCGACACUUUAACCUGCCGUGCUACAAUUCUCACCCCCGUUUCCUCAAUUUUUAUAAAACAGCAUUCACCCUUUCCCUGGUUCUCAUGACCACUCAUGCAAAUGAACAUGCUAUAAAUUGCCCAUGCGACUGCUUAGCGCGUAUUAGCAGGAAUGCUCAGCUGGGGGAGUACUGUUUAUGGAGGAUUUCCUGAAGUCCAUGCACGUGAAAGAAAAAUCAUUAGAACUCUUUGGUUGUUUUUUUUUUUUUGGCUCUUCCUGUGAUCGCUUUUACUGAACUGCAGUUUGGGAGCACACAGCUUAGGUCUAGGGACAGAGAAGCAGGGUCAGGAGCCCUACAACCAUGUCUGCUGGGGAGAAGCGAGCGGCUGAGACCAGGGCUCACUCGCACGUUGUGGCCUCUUACCAAAGCCAGCUCUACAUUUAACUGUGCUUCUCUUGAGCAACUAGUUUGUUUUAUAAUCUUGUGGGCAUUUCGAAUUAUGUAACUGAAUAUGCUUCCUUUCGUGUUUGUGUUGGUUGUUUAAAAAGGCAGAGGCUUACAUAUAUCAAGUUCCCAGACCCUGUGAUAAUUAUCUGAUUAAUUACUUUUACUCCAACUUUUUCAUUUGCCUAUUCUUAGUUUCCUUUUGGCUGGUUACUCUUUUAAUUGUUUUUAAUUUAUUUGAGAGGUAGAGCGAGAAAGCCCUCUCAUCCAUUGGUUCAUUCCCCAAAUGCCUGCAAUGGCCCAGAUUGGGCCAAAACUCAGAGCCAGGAACUCAGGCCAGAUCUCCCACGUGGGUGGCAGGAACCCAAUUACUUGAGCCAUCACAGCUCCCAAUGUCUGCAUUAGCAGGAAACUGGAGUUAGGAGCUGAAGCCAGGCGUCAUACCUGGGUACUCCAACAUAAGUGGGCAUCUUAACAAAUAGGCCAAGUACCUGCUCCUACUUACUCUUUAUAUCUUUAUAAAAAUAUCUUUAUAUAUAUAAUUUAUAUAUUUUUAAAAAGAUUUAUUUAUUGAAGGGCAGAGUGACAGAGAGAAAAAGAUCAUCCAUCCACUAGUUUAUUCCCCAGAUGGCUGCAACAACCAAAACUGGGCCAGGCAAAAGUCAGGAGCCAGGAACUCCAUCCGGGUCCCCCAUAUGGGUGGCAGGAAUUCAAGUACUUGAGCCAUCAUCCAUUUCUUCCCAGGCACAUUAGCAGGGAGCUGGAUGGAAGUAGAGUAACAGGGACUCAAACCAGCACUCCAAAAUGGUUGCAGGCAACCCAAGCAGUGGCUCAACCCAUUGUGCUAUAAUGCGACCCUCACUCCUCUUUAUUUAUAUAUACUAUAUAUAUAUAUAUGUGUGUGUGUGUGUGUGUGUAUAAUAUAUAAUGUGUGUAUGUAUAUUUUCUAAAUCACCUUGAAUAUUUUUUAAAUAGAAGAAAUAAAGGGGGCUGGUGCUGUAGCGCAGCGGGUUAACUCCCUGGCGUCCUAUAUGGGCGCCGAUUUGAGUUCUGGGUACUCCACUUCCAAUCCAGCUCUCUGCUAUGGCCUGGGAAAGCAGUAGAAGAUGACCCAAGUCCUUGGGCCCCUGCACCCACAUGGGAGACCUGUAAGAAGCUCCUGGCUCCUGGCUUUGGAUCAGCGCAGCUCCAGCCGUUGUGGCCAAUUGGGGAGUGAACCAUUGGAUGGAAGACUUCUCUCUGCCUCUCUUCUCUCUGUGUAACUCUGACUUUCAGAUUGAUAAAUAAAUCUUUAACAAAAAAAAAAAAAAAGAAAUAAAGGAAAGCAUAUGACAUGUCACUUAUGAUUACAAAGUUAGUUUUAAGGGGCUGGCUUUGUGGUGUAGCAGGUAAAGCCACUGCCUGCAGUGCUGGCAUCCUAUAUGUGUGCCAGUUUGAGUCCCAGUUGUUCCACUUCUAAUUCAGCUCCCUGUUAAUGCACUUGGGAAAAUCGUUGGAGGAUGGCUCAAGCGCUUGCGCCCCUGUAUUCAUGUGGGAGAGCUGGAAGAAGCUCCCGGCUCCUGACUUUGGCCUGGCUCUUCCCUGGCCAUUGCAGUCUUAUGGGGAGUGAACCAGCAGCUGGAAGAUUUUCUCUAAUCUUUCAAAUAAAAUAUUUAUUAAAAGAACUCAAAUAUGUGUUUGUUUGACCAUUCCAUAAAAAGUAAACAAGUACUAAGUGACAAAUGGGAAAAUCAGAGAAUCUUCUAAGUGGUAAAUAAAACUUCACAAACUAUUUAAUUUGGUCUUCUGGUAAGGAAGUUUUCUCAAGAUAAUUCCUAUUCAAAUAUGACAUAAGUCUGUCAUCAUAGUCAAUCUAUUAUUGAUGGUUUUAUAAGACUUAGUCAUAAAAUUGUACUUAAACACUUGGCCUGUUCUGAUGUCCAGGUACUGGACUCUGGCUGUCCACCUCCACUGUCACCUAUUUUGCCGCCAGUCAGUUAUUCAACAAAUGUGUGCCAAGUGUUUAGCAAAUGCCAGCAUUGCGCUAGAUAUCUGGGUGAAUAUUCGCAUAGGCCUUGCCUUCAAGAAGUUCAUGGUCUAAGACCUGGGGUACUGUCCCAGAAUUAGGUUGUUGAUAUCAGCAUAAUUUUAUGUCUGCCAGCAUAAGUUUAAUCAAAAACAUUGUAGGUAAAAGAAAUCAGACAGGUGCUAGCUGUACCUACAUGGGAAGUUACAGGUCUGUAGAAUACAGAAGCUCUAUAGAAAGAGAAACUUAGAAAUUCUUAGAUCUGUUACCCUGAUUUGAAACUUGAGACCUAUUUUUUUCACUGAUCAGUUCUUUCAUUCUACGAGGAUGUGCUAAUACCUUGGAUGGAGCAACCCUUCUUGCUAAUCAGCAUGCACACACCCAGGGAAACUUCCUGUCUGUAGAAAAGGAGAGUGAUGAUGUUGUCAGCGUGUGAGUGUUCAUGCACACAUUUAUGCAUAUGCGUGUAAAUGCUUGUGCCAGGAAGAGAAGUUGGGGGAGGUGAUGUGUGUGUGUUUUGUUACUUAGCUCACUUGAUAUUUAUCCAGAGUUACUAAUCAGUGUAAAAUGUAGGUUCAGUCCCCAGGGGUGGUUGUUAGCUUCACACAGAGAGAAAAUCUCUGUCCUAUGACCAUCGUUUGCACUUCCAGUCCCAAAAUGCAAUGAGAGAGAGCAAGUGACUCAAUGGAAUCAGUAGCAUGACCAGAAAGCUCAGUCGUCUGAUGGUAGAUAAAUAUUAUCAUUAUAAAUAAGACAGAGGAUAAAUAUUAUCAGCAUAAAUAAAAGAUAAAUGCAUAUUAACAUUAUAAAUAAAAAUAAAUUAUAAAUAAAUAAAUAUUGUCAGGGCCAGCACUGUGGUGCCGAAGGUUAAAGCCCUGGCCUGCAGUGCCAACAUCCCAUAUGGGUGUCAAUUCAAGUCCCAGCUGCUCUACUUCCGACCCAGCUCCCUGCUAAUGUGCCUGGGAAAGCAGUGGAGGAUGGCUCAAGUGCUUGGGCCCCUGCACCCAUGUGAGAAACCUAGAGGAAGCUCCUGGCUCCUGACUUCGGGUAGGCUCAGCUCAGCUCAGCUUUGACUGUUUUGACCAUUUGAGGAGUAAACCAGCAGAUGGAAGAGUCAGUCUCUCUCUCUCUCUCUCUCUCUCUCUCUCUCUCUCUUUUUCUCUUUCUGAAAUUCUGUCUUUCAAAAACAAAUCUUUAAAAAUAAAUAAAUAUUGUCAUAAAGAAAUUGGAUCAUUUAGGAGGAGGGGAGAAAUCCUUAAUUAUAAUAAGAAAAGUAAAAAACUUUUAUGUGCAUGUUUUCUUCUGCAUUAUUUUAAUAUGUUCUUUUUAAAUGUAAGUACCUGUAUAGAAAGUAGUGUUAUUUAACCUUAAAUAAUAUAAUAAUACGUGUGACUUCUAAGGAACAGGCUUUAGUUCCACUGAGGAACGAAUGCAAAUUCAUGUGAUGGUUCCACAAGGUUGCAUUAGAAUCCUCAAUGAUGUGCUCAGUUCACUUCACUGAGUGGUUUUGAUGCUUCAGGUGAGAUGCUUUCUGUUGUGUCAGUGAAUUGACAGCAGAUUGGGAGUGAUGCCAGCGUGUAGGUUGCACGAUCCUUUUGAUUUUCAGCUCUGUUAUGUUUUAUCAAGUUACUGUUUAAUCCCGAUGCAGUACUUGGUUGUCCCACUACCUCCCAUAAAAUGAAUACCCCAGCAGCUGGGGCCGGGGUGCUAGUCACAUGCCAGAAAGAACCAAUCUUACUUGAGGCCACUUCGUGGCUGCCUCAGAGUCUCAAAGUCUCAAUGGGAGUUUUCGGUAAGGCUUUCUCGAAAGAAUGUAGAUGGGAUUUGUCUCCAGUGGAAACUUAGAAGUCUCUUCUUCCUAGAUUUUCCUUCUUCCCCUCCCCACGUGUUCCUGUUCCAAAUUCCCACCCCUCAAUUCAGAGGUCAGGGAGAGCCGCUGAAUCUAACUUGGGAAAAUGACAAAUUACUUGCAUUCUUCAAAGCAGGACAUUUGCUAUGAUGAUGGCCUGUUUUAACAUAACUUUGAUGCUGUGUUAUUAGUUUGCAUAUUAAUGCAUGCAGUUUUUUUUAAAUUGUGUACAACAGUAAACACCUUUAUUGCCUGAGGUCGGACAGGAGGGAGGAGGACUGAACCUGCAGCUGGAAGUCCAGCCCAUUGCCCUCUAGCAUGCAGCCAUCAGCGCCCGCACUCUGGUUCCAGGAGCCUCCUAAGCAGCUAAACCUUCAGACGAUACCUUGAGGAGCCAAGACUUAGAAGAAGAGAUAUUUGUGCAUUUGAUGGCAUGGUGUUGAGAGAAGCAAACACACGAUGCAUUCUGGCUCCAAGGUUGCACCCUCCGAACAGACCCGAUCCUUGGCAGAAGCAGCUGGACGGGUUCAUUUUCCUCAGCCAGCAUAUAGUGGGAUGGGUAUGUCUGUGGCUGAUCGGAUCUCGUUACCAUUCUUGCCUUCCAUGUGUUAGGUGGCAGGCAGUGUAGUUUUUCUAAGGCGACUUUGCGCAUCUCAGUGUUGCCUUUGGUUUAACACCCAGAGUGCAAUUUGAUUUCCCCUUCUGGAGUAUCUUCUCCCAAGUAUUGUUCAUAGAAUGACUAUUAGAGUUUAGCUAUGGAUUAUUUUGAUGUCCUUUCUAACAUUUUAUUAGUUUUGGAAAUGUAAGAAAUAGAGCGUGUGCAUCAAUGGCAGGCUAGGUUUAAAAUUAGUGUUUCCUAUGGCCUACACCCUUUGAUAAAUCUACUAGUUUUCAAAAGUGAAUUCUCUAUUGUUAUUGCUAUUCUAAUUAGCAUGCUUAUUAUUUAAUUGGGCACUAAGGUGCCAAUUAAAAGAAGAAAAGUCUUACAUACUAGGGAAAACAAUUGAUUAAAUUUCCUAGAAGUAGAAUCCGUGGGAGAUAAAGGAUGUUCUAUAUAGUAACUGCCACAUGGGCUUUCUCGCUCUGUAAUUGUGUCUCUAUAGGUCAGGAAAAUUGCUAAAGCCAGCAAGGUGUUCCAAAUGGAUAAGCAAAACUCCUUGUCAGUUUUAGAUCAGCUCAAGUCAAUCUGGUUGCUCACCCACGAGAAUCCUGACUGGUAUACAGGGUCUAGCCUGGGACAAGUUUCUGCCGAGCACUCUGGGAAUGUUGUCUGCAGAGCUGCCUCCUCCUCUCACUUGCUGCUUUGGAUUCUGCCCGAGCCCUGGGUAGGCUUGGGAAGUCUCCUUUCCAGCAGAGCGAGCAGUGAAUUGACCCGUAGGUGGAUGGCCACAGGAUUGGCUGCUAAAGCCACUGGGAUUUCUGCUGGAAGAACCAAACAGGAGGGAAUGUCGUCAUACAUACAUUCCAGUCCCCAAGGAAGCCGCCUCCCCCAACCUUGCCUCCAUUCCAUCCUCAGGAAAGCCAAUUAGUAAAUUAAUAUUUGCCAGAUAAAUUGAUUUUUCAGAAGAUAGGCUCUUUAAUUUCUAUCUAGAUACUUUUUUAUUUUUCUCCAGUAAAUGGGAAUGGGAAGAGGCUAAUAGUUUUGUUAUUUGGAGCAAAUUCCCAACUCAAAGUGCUAUGUUGUGUCCUCUGAAAAUUGACAUGUGAACUCCCAAUGUGCUAGUAUUCAGAGGUGAGGCUCUGGGGUGGCUGAUUAAGUCAGGAGCAUGGGGUCCUCUCCAGUGAGAUUAACCCCUUACCAUGUGCACACCUGGCAAGAAGGCUCCGCCCCCCCAAAGCGUGGAGGGAACCCUUCCCAGACGCCCUAUCUGCUGGUGCCUGAUCUUGGACUUCCUGACCUCUUGAUCUGUAAGAAUACAUUCUUGUUGUGACUGAGCCAGCUGGAUCAGUGUGUUUUGUUACAGUGGCCUGAACAAGCUAAGAUACCAAACUCAGGCGUAGAAUUGAAUAUAAAAUAAAAUAAUAUUUGCUACUAAAAUUUUAAUGAUUAGCUUAUGAUUUUGAUGUUAUACUGCAGAAUCAAUCAAUACUCAUCACUGUCAGCUGCAAGAUGUGUGUGUAGUCUCUGUAUUACACAUUUCUGGGAUGAAAUGGAUGCUCAUUUUCCAUCAAGGUCAAUGAGAGUAUGGUGUCUAGUUUCCAAAGAUGAUUAAUCAACAUUUUAAUCUGUACUGUAAUACUGAUCAAUUUAUUUAUGUCAAUGUCUGAUUACUGUGGAUAGAGGUGAAGAAUGCAUUCAUGUAUCUAUCUCUUUAUUUCUUUGAAUAAUUUUCUUGGGAUAAAUCCCUCAAAGUAGAAUUAGUAAAACAAAAAGUGUGACUAUGUUGUGGCUAGUGCUUAAUCCAUCCUGUGCGAUAAGUAAGGACCUAUGGCUUACUGGCCUCACAGCGCAUGCCUCCUUUUGUGGUGAGAAUGCAAGGGUUAUGGGCACACUUUAACAGCAGAAUUUGUGCUUGUUGUUAUUGUUUUUUUUUUUUAAACAAAUGUGAGAAAUAAUUCAUUUGCUAUUGACAGGGCAGGGAAAACUAGACAAAAAAGCUCUCAGUAGGCUCUGGGGAAGAAAGAUACGGCGCUUCAAAGGAAAAAGCCAAUUUCCAAAUGGAAAGGUCUGGAGUACACGAGCAGCACCCUCCAGGCUUUAGUCACAGAACAAAACUGAUCUGAGUUCUAUGCAAAGAAUUCCCAGAUAAUUGAGGCAAAUAUAAGAUGUAUCAUCUCUUUUACAUUUCAAUAUGCAUUUUUUAAAAGAUUUGUUUACUUAUUUGAAAGUCAGAGUUACAAGCACAGAGGGAGAGACAGAGAGAAAAAGAGAGAGAAAGCGAGCCAGCUUCCAUCCACUGGUUCACUCCUCAGAUGACCACAACCACCAGGGCUGAGCCAGGCCAAAGCCAGGAGCCAGGAGCCAGGAGCUUCUUCCAGGUUUCCCACGUGGAUAGCAGAGGCCACUGCUUUCCCAGGCCAUUAGCAGGGAGAUGGAUUGAAAGUGGAGCAGCUGGGAGUUGAAUUGGUGCCCAUUUGCGAUGCCAGCAAUGCAGAUGGCAGCUUAACUUUCUGCCCCACAACCCCAGCCCCAAUGUGCAUCUUUUAAAAAAGAACUUCUCAAAAAUAAAAAACAAAACCAGAAAAGAACUAUCCUUUGAAAUAGUAAUGAUAUCUCACUCCUCCCAAAAAAACUACCAAAAAAUAUUUAACACUAUCAAAUAGCCAAUAGUAUACAUUUUCCUUAUUCUUUUGUGUUUUUUAAUUUAUUUGACAGGUAGAGUUAUAGACAGUGAGAGAGAGAGAGAAAGGUCUUCCUUCUGUUGGUUCACUGCCCAAAUGGCACUAUGGCCGGCGCUGUGCAAUCCAAAGCCAGGAGCCAGGUGCUUCUUCCUGGUCUCCCAUGCGGGUGCAGGAGCCCAAACACUUAGCCAUCCUCCACUGCCUUCCCAGGCCACAGCAGAGAGCUGGACUAGAAGAGGAGCAACUGGGACUAGAACCCAGCACCCGUAUGGGAUGCUGGCGCCACAGGUGGAGGAUUAACCAAGUGAGCCAUGGCGCCGGCCCCUAAUCCUAAAAUUUUUAAAAGCAAUUUACUCAAAUCUGAUGAAGCAAGAUCUGUAUAUUGUUGUUGAUUGAUACAUAUCUUGAAUGUUUUCUUUUCCAAUUUUAUAAGUUUCUCCAUAGAUCUCUUUCCUUUGUAAUUUUAUUGUUGAUGAAAAAUAGUUAGAGUCUUGUAGAAGUCCAGUCACUGCCUGGACUUUGUUGACUGAAUAUCUGCGGGGUUAUUAAAUAUGUUCUUCUAGGCUGUGUAUUUUCCAUAAAUUAAAAUCCAAGACUCAAUCAUUUUUAGAUUGAGGAGGAGAGGGUAAGUGACAAGACAACCAUAAAAGGUGUUAAAAACUUGCAUCAGUGGCCGGCGCUGCGGCUCACUAGGCUAAUCCUCCGCCUAGCGGCGCCGGCACACCAGGUUCUAGUCCCCGUCGGGGCGCCGGAUUCUGUCCCGGUUGCCCCUCUUCCAGGCCAGCUCUCUGCUGUGGCCUGGAAGUGCAGUGGAGGAUGGCCCAAGUGCUUGGGCCCUGCACCCCAUGGGAGACCAGGAGAAGCACCUGGCUCCUGCCAUCGGAUCAGCGCGGUGCGCCGGCCACAGCGCGCUGGCCGUGGCGGCCAUUGGAGGGUGAACCAACGGCAAAGGAAGACCUUUCUCUCUGUCUCUCUCUCUCUCACUGUCCACUCUGCCUGUUAAAAAAAAAAUUAAAAAAAAAUUAAAAAAAAAAAAACUUGCAUCAGAAGCUACAUAGCAUCUGGCUGUCUCCUGUUACUGAGCCAUGCUCGUAUAGUGAUGUUUUAAUUCUAUUUUUUCUUCAUUCAUUGGCUGUAAUACUAUAUAAAAGAAACUUUCCCUCACCAGCUAACAGGUUACUCUGGGGCACAGGUCAUAUUUUCUUUUUUUUAAGAUUUAUUUAUUUAUUUGAAAGUCAGAGUUACACAAAGAGAGAAGGAGAAGCAGAGAGAGAGAGAGAUAGAGAGAGAGAGAAAGAAAGUGGUCUUCACUGGUUCACUCCCCAAAUGGCCGAAAUGGCUGGAGCUGGGCCUGUCCAAAGCCAGGAGCCAGGAGCUUCUUCUGGGUCUCCCACACAGGUGCAGGAGCACAAGCACUUGGGUCAUCUUCUACUGCUUUCCUAGGCCACAACAGAGAGUUGGAUUGGAAGUGGAGCAUCCAGGACUCGAACCAGUGCCCAUAUGUGAUCCCAGCACUGCAAGCAGCAGUCUCACCUGCUAUGCCACAGCACCGGCCCCACAGGUCAUAUUUUGAUCAAUGGCUACAGUCAGUGGCUUAAGCCACUGUGUGCCACAAUGCUGUCCUCUGAAAGUCAAAUUUAUUUACUACUUACUCGGUAUCCAGAGCUGAGCUAAGUGCUUUAUUUAAUCCUUAUAACACCUUCAUAAAUAGGUGGUAUUAUUAUUCCUAAAGUGCUAACAAGGAAACUGAAGUGUAGCCAACUUUGGGGAACUUGCUCACAUGGAAGGCAGAUUGGUAUAGUAAGGUUUGGAACCCAGCUGUCUCUGAAGUCAAUAUGCAUGCUAGACACAACUGCACAAACUAGCAGUUAUUCUAUUCAGUCAGGAUGUAAGCCAAACCUUCGUUGUACAGAACACAUAGUAAACACCUCCUCCAAGAAUGCUUUGAUGGUUAAUUUUCUAUCAUCUGGUCUUACAUUGUUCUGGGGGUUUCUUGAAAGAUAUUUUUGCAUGAGAUUAACUUUAAAAAAAAAGAUUUAUUUAUUUAUUUAUUUGAAAGGUGGAGUUACAGAGAGGCAGAGAGGUAGAGAAAGAGAUCUUCCAUCCACUGAUUCUCUCCCUAAAUGGGUGCAAUGGCCUAAGCUGUGCCGAUCUGAAGUCAGGAGCCAGGAGCUUUUUCCGGGUCUCUCAUGCAGGUGCAGGGGCCCAAGCACUUGGGCUAUCUUCUACUGCUUUCCCAGGCCAUAGCAGAGACUGGAUUGGAAGUUGACCAGCCAGGACCCAUAUGGGAUGCUGGCACUACAGGUGGUGGCUCUACAUGCUACGCCACAGUGCAGGCCCCUGAGAUUAACUUAAAAAAAAUUAUUUGCAAGGCAGAGAGACAGAGAUGCUGGUGCCGGGUUGGGCCAGGCUGAAGCCAAAAGCUGGGAACUCAAUGCAGGUCUCCUGCAUGGAUGGCAGGGAGCCAUCCACUUGAACCAUCACCUACUGCCAACCUGGGUUCAUAUUAGCAAGAAGCUGGAAUUGGGGGCAGAGCCAGGACUGGAACCCAGGCAUUCUGAUAUGGCUAUCCCAAGCGGUAUCUUAACUGCUGUUCCAAAUGCCCACCCUGAGAUUAGCACUUGAAUUGGUAAAGCAGGUUGCCAUCCUUAAUGUGAUGGGCCUUGUUCAGUCAGGUAAAGGCCAGAAUAGAUUGAUGCGUCUGAGCCUCCCCCAGGUAAACAGGAACUCUGCAGUGGAUUGUCCUUGGACUUCAGUUGCCCCAUUGGCUCUCCUCUGGCUCUCUGCCUGCUGGCUCACUGCAGUGUUGGGCUUGCCAGUCCCUAUAAUCACAUGAGCCAAGUCCAUAUAAUAAAUCUCUUUAGAUAGCUAGAUAGAUUCUAUUGGUCUGUUUCUCUGGAGAACCCUAAUACAGGUUUAUUUUAAGAAACCCAAAUGAAAGAAGCAGUGUUUAAAUUGCCCCUAAAUUUUGCAAGACUGACACAAUGAUUUUAUAUGAAAGUGGCCUUUCCUUCCCAUGAAUCAUAUUCCUGAAAUAAUGUGCUUCUAAAAAUCAUGAACAGAUGGUCCUACCUGCUAUAUCUGAUUUUGUGUUAAGAAAUGACUAAAGGAAACAGAUUUUGGUUUUGUCAUCAUCAGUUUUCUUCCCAUAUCAUUUCAUUGGUAGGACUGCAGAUGUUCUAUUGGUCUUAUGCUACUACUUUAUGAGACAAAAUUAUUUAUUAACUCAGCACACAUUGGCAGGCCCAAUGCUAGGCAUUGCAAAUGGACCCUGAUCCUACCUAACUGAAUUGAGAGUCAGGCAAAUUAAAACCAUUACAAUACAAUAUGAUAUCUCCUAUGCUGGGGGCAUGUCCCAAAUGCAUUGAGUACAAACAAAUGAUAUCCAAAUCUAUAGGAACGCCAAGAAGACAUCUCAAAAACAAGUUUUAAUAUGAAAUGUGUUUUGGUGGGUCAUCAAGGACUGAUUUUCCUUUUCGAUUUUCACUGAAGGCACGUUCCAUGUUGUAGCAACAUGAAAGGAAUCCUGAUCCUAUAUUUUCCUAGUUGCUUGGCUUUCUCUAUCUGGUUCUAGAAUUAAUAAGGAUUCUACCUUAAUACCCCGGUAUUAAUAUCAUGUUUUCCUAGGUGAUUUUUCAUCCACUACAGAGUCUUGGAAGGGUGUUUCAGAGGAAUGUUCCACUGAAUGAAGUCAUGCAUCAUCAAAAUGUUGCAUUCCUUUUUCUCCUCUGAACUCCAGAUCAGCCUCUGACUCUAGCUGCAGCCCUACAGCUAAAUGAUUCAUUUCUCCAUUGGUUUUUCACACUCAAAGGCAAUUAAAGAUUUUUGAAAUUGUUUAAAAUAAUUAACAAUAAGGUCUCCUACUUUUCUCUCUUCUCCGGAUUAGAUUUCCUUGUGAGCUAUUCCUGGGAGGUAAUAUUUAAAAGCUUGAUCUUCAUUGACAUUAAUGAGAUUAAAAGAUGUUAAGCAGCCCCUUUAUACCUAAUUACUCAAUCAAAACCAAAAUUAAUCACUUCAAUGAAUGCUGGAAUUUAGUGUUCUCAAAUUGGACUCCUUGCCAAGUUGCCUCUCCUAGUAACUUUCUUGAUCUAAUUAGAAUUAUUUUAAAAUUAUUUAUUCAAGAGGUAGAGGUUCAAACAAAAUAGAGGAGAGAGAGAGUGUGCUCCCAUCCAUUGUUUAUUUCCCAAAUGCCUGCAAUGGCCCUGAGUUGGACAGGGGAUGAAGCUGGAAGGCAGGAACUCUAUCCAGGUCUCGCAAGUGGGUGGUAGGGACCCAGGUACCUGAACCAUCCCCGGCAGCCUCCUAGCAUUAGUAGGAAGCUAGAAGCACGAGCCAGAGCCAGGAAUAAAACUCAAGCACCAUGAUAUGGAACACGAUGUCCUACCCAGUAUCUUAACUGCUAGACCAAAUGUCUGCCUCCAGUUAGAUUCUUUAUUAGAACACAUUUUCACAUCUGUUGACAGAGAAGUCAUGGUGAAGUUUUAGUCAGAGUCCUGUGAUUUGAAACUGGCCAAAUUGUUUAUAUGUAUAUAGCACAUACAAUUUGAAUCAAGGGAAGGUAGCUUAGCUGUAUUUCAUUAUCAUGAAAGAGUUUCUGACCCUUUCUGUCCCUUCUUCCCUCACAGAAUGGCAUUCUGGAUGACAGUAUUAGGAAAAGAAGAGAGAUUUUAAAGCUCAGACAGAUCUGUGAUUUACUAGUUAGAAAUGUACCUCUUAGGGCAUACAUAUGGCAUCUUGCUGCUUGGAAGGUGAAAUAGCCUGAUAAUCUUACUGGGACUUGGGAGAGGGUGGCAUGUAACAAAAUUCAGUCUAUUUCAUGCAGGCAUCAGUGGCUAACGGCAUCUGAAUUGAGGGGACAGAGCAGCAACACUGUUCGUAAAAUGGCACAGUCUUAUGUGUGGCACCAUCUAUGCCCCAGACACCAUCCUAGGCUCUACUCUCAACCCCCCCACCCCCCAUUGCUGGAAGCCAGGUGACCAGAUGGCCCAACCGCAGCUGUCAGCUCCACCCCCACCCUAAUAGGAUUUGCUGCUCCUACUUCCCUGCCCCCUGGCAAGGGUUUAACAGGACCUGCUUCUUGUACACAUGGGCUCUUACUCUCUCCCCCUCUCCCCCAGCCCAUCAGGGCUUCCCCUACCCGACAAUAAACCUUUCCCUCACUCCGGUGUUUGACGUGUUUUGUGGCAGCCUACAAACCCCAUUUCUGAAUCUUGUGAGGACUGUAUUGUAAAUCAAAGAGGUGUGUCUGUGAUGAGAUGAAGCAUACCAGGGUCUUGCCCUGGAAAUGAGGCCUGCGGUAGCUAAGAGAAAGGAGCACAGCCAGCUUGCUGGAGGUCAGAGCUGGCUCCAGUCUCACAGAGACUUGGGAAAGAGAUGCAGCCAGGCUCAAGGACCAGCUGCGAACCUGCAUGUUCGUUGUUGUGAGACUAGAUGGAAAUAGUGACUAGUUCUCACCUGGGCAUCCAGGGCUUGCUUUUCAUCAUGGUUGAGCAGAGGGGCAUCAUCCCUAGAAGAGAACCAGGUAAGAAUUAGGCUGCGCCUGGGCAGGAUGGAAGUUCCAGCCAAUUACAGCAGAGUUAACAGAGCCCAUCCAAGUUGGGGUUAGCCUGAGAAUUAAGAACCAGGGACUCGAAGGGGGUCUGUUACGCAGGCUGACCACACGCAGGAGAGAUUGCUACUAAUACGCUCCAGAGUUCCAUCAAACAUUUCCACUUAUGCCACAUUGUCCAGGAUGUAGGCACAUGGGCAAAACUAGUGACAAGAAAGGCUGGGAAAUUUGUCUUUCAUGUCAAGUGACAGCUUAUCCAGAUAAAAAACUGAGAUUCUGUUGAGGAAGAAGAGGAGGAUUGGUAUAGGGAGGCAAUACUUGCUACCAUGGUCCCUCUUGUCCUCUGUAAGAGCUUUGCUUUUUCUUUCUAAAUCCUGACUGCCACUUGCUAGUCCUAUGACCAAGAAUAAGAUAACUACUUAUCUGUAUCUUAGUGCUAGCGUAUAUAAAAAGGGCCGAUCACUACCUAGCUUACAGGUUUAUAAACAUUAAGUAACAAUAAUAUAUAUAGGCAAUACUAGAUACAUGCUGCUUCCCCUUGUCCCCAAGUUGCUUCUGCUUUUCUCUUGGCUCUUCUCUUUUCUCUCUCUCUCUUUUUAAAAUAUUUAUUUUAUUUAUUUGGAAGACAGAGUGACAGAGAAAGGGAGAAAAAGAGAGAUGGAGAGGGAGAGAGAGAUCAACUCAUCUCAGAUCCUGCCUCCUCAAGGAAAUGAGUUGAUCAUAUAAUAGAACAUUAUGUGAAUUCUUGGCAUUUACCAAUUACAGGGUUCAUGAUAAUUUUUGAAGACAUUUGUUAAUUUGGGUCUAAACUGGCAUACUCCUAACUGGUACCUUAGAAACAGUUGAUAUGUCAUGCUGACAACAACAUUGAGGUUGUAACUUAUUUAAAAUAGUUAUUUUUGUGUGUGCCUGCUCUAAACUACGAAAUUCAUCAUUUAUGGAACAGUAGCACUGUAGUCCUUGCUGCCGUAGAGUAAGCCAUUUCUGGCAGCACUUUUCUCUUGUCAUAUGAUGGUCACCUGUUAGACCUCACAGUCACAGACUCAUACCCGUGGCUCUAGCUGUUAUUUGCUCAUGUAAUGUUAAACCUAGAUUAGAUCUGAACCCGUUGCCAUGUUCAGUGGUUGAAAAAGUCCCUUUAGGAUAGCAAUACCUGAUUGUUCUUCCCACCUGCUCUUUGCCUGGUCUCUGUUAUCUUUGUUACCAUAGAAACAACUUGGCGGGGUGAAGCUGGAGCAGAUCCACUCUUUCGCGGCGUGGAAAGCAGCGGCUGCAUCACUGAAGUGACAUAGAAGAGUUGAACCUCAGACAGCAGCUAGUCUGGCCUUGGAAGGAGGAUGGGGGAGGGGACCUCAGCCUCUGCACAUUGUUUUUCUGCCCCUCCUCUUUUCCCUCUACAAGUCCCGGAUGCCCAUUUCCCCCCUUGGUCAUUCUCUCCCACUUAGACUCCUUUGUCCUUUUCCAAUUCUGUCCAUCCGGCCGGCUCUGAGUCCUCUCUCCAGGUGUGCAAGGACUGUAAGCUUUGGAAUGGAGUCUCUUAGGAGCUAGAGCACUUGAUUCUCAAUCUCCUGCUGCAUGUAAUGGAAAACCUACUUUUCAGAGUUAUUUUGAGGAUAAAAUAAGCUAUUUGUGCCUACCGUUCUGGCUAUGCAGUAGGCAUUCCAUAAAUGUUGGUUUCUUUUCCUCCAUUUUAAUCUUUCUCUUCUGACCACUUCUGUGUUCUUCUUGCCUCUAAGACUCUGCUUACCUCAACUGUGGUGCGUGGACCAGCACACUGGAGAUGCCUCGUCUUGGGCCCCACCUGGGCCUCCUGAGUCAGAAUCGCAUGUUAAUGCCCCUGUAUUUCCUAGAGGUGAUCCAGAUUGCAAAGUGCCACUCUAAAAUGAACACUUGCUUGUGCUGGUACCCCUUUUGCUAAUGGGAAGAAGGAAGAAGGAAUGGCCACCACGGGUUACAAACCUGCCUGGUGCCAGAUGCUAGUUUCCGGACCAUCACUUCCAGAACUCUUCCUCGCUCUCUGAGCUUGGCACUGUUGUCUCUUCUUGACCUAUAGGCAAAGAGACUAAGGGGGUUGACUUCUUAGCCGAAGAUUAAAUAGGAAUGAUACAGGCGAGACUCAAACACCUUGUACUAUCUACUCCCAAACCACGUAGGCCUGUGGUUUUUGUUUUUGUUUUUUUUUCCUGGAGAAGAUAGAAGUGGGGAGAAAGAGAAAAUUAAAACCAUAAGUCCUGUCAAAAUAUGGAGACAUAAAAACAUGAAAGGUAACCUUGUGUUUCAAUGACAUCAGUAGAGAACCAUGUCCUUGAAACUAAUUCCAGCUGUCCUUAAUUCUGUUCCUUGCCCUUUGUUUGAUAUUGACAUUUUGACACCUAAUAGAGGUUAAUAAGAUAUUUCCUAUACACAAAGUAGUUGUUUAAUUUUCAGCCUCUUUAGUGAAAUGACGUAUCGGCUAAUUGUGGCAACUAGCCCAGCAUACGAUUGUGUGACUUCGUUCGUGAGUUUUUCCAGAUAUCUUCUUUCUCUCGAUUAGACUGUGAGACCGUUGAGGAGAGAUAGUCCCUGCACUCUGCCUUCUCCUUCCUUCCAUGUGAUUUUAUAAUGGCAAGGGGAAAAUCCCACCAGUAAUUGUAAUUCUGGAACGGGAAAGGAAAUUUCGCUUCAGGUAUGUAGUAAUUUUAGUUCAUUUGCAAUGAAUGUCAAGAGACUUAUUUAAGAAUGUUAUAAAGGUCAAAUACAAGAGAGCUUCCAAAAGUUCAUGGAAAAUGCAUAUUAUGAAAAAAUCAUGCACACAUUUCAAAAUUGUUUUGCACCAAAAUAAACAUCCUUCAUUCCACUUUCCCCUAAACUUUUUGAACUACAUGCUUAUUCGCCUCUGAGAUCUCGCCACAAGCUUAAAAAUCAGUUCAGGUUUCCAGCAUUUACCUUUUCGAUUAAGAAUGUUCUAGAAGAAUGUAAGGUUUAUUCUACAUGGGUCAAUAAUUGUAUUUUAUUUAUUUUGACCCAUAUGGAAUCACUGGUAUAAUUUUUGCAAUUCACAUUAGAAACAAAUAUUUCAGUUAAUUUUUGAGAACUAUCAAGUACAAGGUUGUCAUAAAGUAGAAAAGUUCAUAGUUAUGGAAAAAAUGCAUAGAUUUCAAAAAGAGAGAGAUGGCUCACUCCCCAUAUGGGCCAGUCCAGGAGCCAGGAGCUUCAUCCAGGUCUCCCAUGUGGGUGCAGGGGCCUAAGCAGGAUCUGAAGUGAGCAGCUGGGACUCAAACCACCACCCAUAUGGAUCCUGGUGCCACGCAGGCAUCCCUGCCUAUUAACUUUUGAAGUGUACUUUCAUUUAAUUUUCUUAGUGGGUUUUCCAAACCUGAUGUUUUCAUGCUUUUCUAAUUCCAAAAGUCUUAUUUAGGGAAUUUGUUCUAAAUAAAGCAAAAAAACUGGACAGAGAUUAGUGUAAAAGACAAAAUAUUCGUAUAAAAUACCACCUCUUGAUCUAAAAUGAAAUUAGCAUAGAUUUCUUCUUCAGACCAAGAUAUAUAUCUACUUUACAGGAUAGUUUUAUGGGUUGUUUUAGAUAUUUCAUAGCAUGCAAAUAUGACCUGUGGGGUUGGCGCUGUGGCAUAGCAGGUGCAGCUGCCGCCUGCUGUGCCUGCAUCUCAUAUGGGUGCCGGUUCGAGUCCCGGCUGCUCCACUUCCUAUCCAGCUCUCUGCUGUGGCCUGGGAGAGCAGUGGAACAUGGCCCAAAUCCUUGGGCUGCUGCACCCGCGUGGGAGACCCAGAAGAAGCUCCUGGUUCCUGACUUCAGAUCAGCACAGCUCUGGCCAUUUCGGCCAAUUGAGGAGUGAACCAGCAGAUGGAAGACUCACUCUCUCUCUCUCUCUCUCUCUGCCUCUCUGCCUCUCUGCCUCUCUUCUCUCUGUGUAACUCUGACUUUCAAAUAAAUAAAUAAAUCUUUAAAUAAAAAGAAAAUAUACACUUAGAAUUAUGCCUGACACGUGUUUAGUAUCCAGUAAAUGCUAGAUAUUAGUUAAUGCUUUUUUUUACUGAAUGAUGCACCACUAGAAGUGCUCAUGCUAUACAAUUUGUCCCAUCAAUUGUUUCUGAAUAGCUGUUAGGUGUCCUUCUACUGAAGAUUGUUCUCUAUGAUGUAUUUGACAUAUUUACUUCUUUGAAUAACAAUGAAGCUUCUGAAAGUCCACCCAGUGUUAUCAAAUGAUUGUCAAUCAUGAUGUCAAUCAUCAGACUGGAAAAACCUCACCAUGGAAUCGUAUCAUAUACAACCACCUCCUAACCAACACCCACACAUUCGGACAUAUGUAGCAAAAGGUACUGCUUGCCUCACCCUUUGCAUGUGGAGCAGCGAACAAGAAAAUACCUAUGUCUAUGAAAAUAGAAGGUUAACUUUUCGUGAAAACAUAAGGAUUUUUAUUUUGGGAACAUCUUUUAGUGCAUUGCACAUGUGUGCUACUAUAUUUUAAAUUAGCAUCACUCAAGCUUUCUGAAGUGUGAUGUACUUCAUUCCUUCUUUUAUAUCAGGUCCAAUAACAGUGGUUCCUAAAAGUCAUUGACCAGUUACUUCAUGCCUGUGCUUUCCUUCUAUUAACUUGCAAAAACCCUGUGAAGUGAAUAUCCAUUAUUUCCAUUUUGGAGGUGUGGCACACGAGUUUGAGUAACUUCCCUAAGGUUAAUAGCUAGUCCAUGGUGGAACCAGAAUUGGAGCCAGACAGUCUGGUUCUAGCAGCAGCUCGUCUUACACCAUACUAUGUAAGAAGUCUUCAAAAGUUUCAUGGAAAAUGCACCUUAUGAAAAAACUACACAUGAAUUUCAAAAAGUUGUACAACAAAAUAGACUUACUUUUUCUGUAACUUUUUGACGUCCUUGUACACUAAGAUCUCUAUUAGUGAGUGGAAUAUACUCAUAGACUGUUCUACAAAAUGCUUUAUGCAUUUGCCAUGGGGUUGAGUUUAAAUCAAGUGAAAAUCAGAAAUAUGACUAUAUUAGAGUGAACUCUUAUAACAUUUCUGUAAAAUAUUUUAUAUAGAAAUAUAUCCUAACCAGUUAACUUGAGUUUUGUUUUCUUAAGCUCUAAGCUGUUUUUCUUUUUUUAAAUAAACAAUUCCAUAGUGAAGUUCACUUUGUCAAGGAAUACGUUGAAUGAGACAAAAAAUAAUAAAAUUAUCAACUUGUGUUUGCCUGGUGUUUUAUUUUGAAAAUUUUACAAAUGGUGAAUUUUCUGGUACAGGAGAGGUGAUUCUUUACUUUGCAAGACAGGUCUUUCUCUAAGAAUUUCGUAAUUACAGUCAUGUAACUAAUGAACUCUAAAGCUUCACCGAUACUAUCCACUGCCCUCAGGCAGCAGUAAGGGGGGAAAAUGUUACCGAGUUAGUGGCCUCAGGAAUGCUGGACUGAUAGGGGAAAGUUUGCGCUCGUGUUAAUUCCAAAGAGAUUUUUAAGAAUGCAUGGUGUGGGAGCCAGUGCUGUGGCACAGCAGGUAGGACCACUGCCUGCAGUGCCGGCAUGCUGCUCCACUUCCGAUCCAGCUCUCUGCUGUGGCCUGGGAAAGCAGUAGAAGAUGGCCCAAGUCCUUGAGACCUGCACCCACGUGGGAGACCUGGAAGAAGCUUCUGGCUCCUGGCGUUGUAUCAGCACAGGUCCGGCCAUUGUGGCCAACCGGGGAGUGACCCAGCAGAUGGAAGACCUCUCUCUCUCUCUGCCUCUCCUUCUCUUUGUGUGACUCUAACUUUCAAAUAAAUAAAUACUAAUAAAAAAUUUAAAAAAU